GGGCUGGUGGUCUAGGGGUUAGGACGUCACCCUUACAAGGUGAAGAUCAGCGGUUCAAUUCCGCUCCAGCCCA
rnacentral:tRNA from 1 species